UAUAUCACACCCAAAUCCCUCUCUCUCCUUUUUUUUUAUUUAUUUUUCACACUCCACAGUCUUUCACUUUCGACUUCCAUUUUCAGAGACCUGGUUUGCAAAGAAAAAGAUGGGUAGAGAAAGCAUAGAAAAAGGAGGAGGGUUAUUAAAUGAUCCUCUGCUGCCUGUUAAACGUAGUGAUGGGUCUUCUGGUGCUGUGGAAUGUAGUAUCAGCAGCAGAGACAGUGCUGGUACAAAUGAAAAUCGAUCUUCUUUUUCAUCAGCUACAACUAUGGUUGUCGUCACCUCCUUGGUUGCUGUGUGUGGAUCCUAUGUUUUUGGUCUGUAAGUAUUUUUCUGUUUUUGUUUUAUUACUUUUUAAUUCUAGUUUUCUUUUUUUUCUGAUUGCCGUAUGUAUGUUGCAAAUUUGCAAUUAGUUGGUCGGUGGAUUUUCUCCUAAAUAUGAUGUAAUUAUAUAUGUUCCUAUGAAAAAGGCAUUUAGAAACUGUUCUGAUUCUUUAAGAUAGUUCUAGCAGUAGGAUUGACCCACUAUUGGAUAUCGAAGGACCAGUUUAUGAUAUUGAUUUGCAGAUUCGAUAUUCCUCACCGGCUCAAUCUGGAAUUAGUGCUGACCUGGGCCUCACUGUGGCUGGGUAUUCGCUCUUUGGUUCAAUAUUGACAAUUGGAGCAAUGAUAGGUGCUAUAGCGAGUGGGAAAAUAGCAGAUUACCUAGGAAGAAGAUGUACAAUGGGCAUUUCCGAGAUAAUCUGUAUUUGAGGAUGGCUUGCCAUAGUUUUCUCAAAGGUUUCUUGGUGGCUGAACCUUGGAAGACUUCUGGUAGGAUGUGGGAUGGGGCUUCCUAUGUAAAAUAACACCCAAGAAUCUUCGAGGAGGAUUUACAGCAGCUCAUCAGGAUGUAUAUAUUGGUUGGAGAGCAACUAACACCUGCCUAUAUUGGUUGGAAAGAAUUUGGAAGAGAAUCCGACAAAGGCCUCAUUUGAGCCCAAUUUGUUGGGCUUGGACCGGACUGGGCUGAAAGAAUUGUUGAAAUAAAGAGAAUGGAAUGCGUGGUGGGCAGGGGUUUUAUUGAAAACUAACCACUUUACAAAUCACUUUUCGAAAAAUAGCAAAUUUUUUUUUUUUUUUAAAUUUUAGCCAACUUUUUGGUAUAUCAGGAUCAAAAUACCCUUUGUACUUUUUUUUUUUGGGUCUUUUUUUUCUACCGAAAUGCAACUUUUUUUUAUUUUGUUGUUUUUUGUUUUUUUUUCCUUCUUUCCCUUUUCCUUUCAAAACACAACUAGGGCUUUCGAACAAAGCUAAGCUUUCCCUUUCCCUUUAGAAACACACCAGCGCCAUUUUCACUUCAAGCAAAAUUGUCCUCCCAUUCGCCGAUGUCAUAGAAGAACCAGUUUUUGGAAAAUUGUCCUCCCUCCCCAUGCCCAUGCGAUGUUGUUUGAUUUUUGUCUUUGAGCAGAGAGACAAGUUUUUGGAAAAUCAAAAUUAGCUUGCAAAUUUCUCUAGAAGAUCCACAUUUUCGUCAGUUAGUUUGCCAAAGAAGAAAGUGAAGGAAUCGUGAAAGAAGAAAGUGAAGGAAUCGCUGAAGAAGAAAGUGAAGGAAUAGCUAAAAGAGAAAUCAAAGAAAGAAUAUACAAGGAGACAUUUAUCUAUUUGAACCUCCAGGCUCCAUCUUAUCAUUAGCUAGCAUUGGAGGAGCAAGUGAUGGACCGAGCAGAAAAUUAAAGCACAAAAUUUGCGAUCGUAGAGUUACAAGUGCAAGCUGAUAAAAUUACACAUACACUCACAGAGAUAGAGAAAGAGAUAGAGAGAUAUAUAAAUAGAUAGAGAAGCACUGCUGGUGGUUUGUCCCCCAUUAAUAUAAAUGGAUUCAGAUUACCAACGAAAGUUUUGGGAUUCGGAGAUAUCGAGGGCAAAGGUUAAUUGUAGAUCGAACUUCUGGAAAGCCGUGUCGGAUAUUAAGUUCAAGCUGACUCCAGUCCAAAUAAAGAAGUUUGAGGAUAGCUGUUUUGGCCACUUUUUGAAGGCCAAAGAGAUACAAUUUAGUGGCCACAUCGUCAAAAGCAUGCUGUACAGGCAGUGUUUUUGCGACGACAAGGAUUCUAUGGUAUUCAAUUUUGGAGGGCGUGGUGCUAGAUUUACACAGAGAGACUUCACCAUAAUUACAAGUCUAGGGUUUGGUUACAAAGCCAAUAGGCGAGUGAACAUCUCUACUCGUAUUAGUGACACAUAUUUUGGCGGAAAGCGAAAGGUCACUAACUCGGAGAUAACCGAAGCUUUCAUGACUGCACAGUGUCAAGAUGAUGAUGAAGCCGACGAUGAUAGCUUGAAGUUGGUUUUAUUAUAUUUCCGAAAGACGGUUCUUCUAGGCAAAGAAAGCAUGGCCACCGCAUCUCAUAAUCACUUGGAGAUGGUGGAUGAUUUAGAGUACUUCAAUAACUAUCCAUGGGGUAUACAUUGAGCAGUGUUAUGGAAAGUUCCUCGCCAAUCCAUCUAAGUUCCAAUUCUCAUACGCAAUGCAAGAAUAUGUGCCGGGGAUUCGAAUGAAGGAGUCCAAGCCAUGGAAAUGGGUAAAUCAUGUAAAAUAUAUAUGUUCAAAUUGUGUAAUGUUAACUAUUCAUUUAUUCAUGUGACUUCCUUUAUUUAUUGUGCUAACUGAAAUCCUAUAAUGUAUUAACAGUUGUUGAUUCCACUAAACAAGUGCAACAUACAUUGGCUGGUAGGGCACGUGGACUUGAAAGAGCGUUGUGUGACUGUAUAUGACUCAGAUAAGGCUGGUAACCGAAACAGGGGAGAAAGUUAUUUUCAGAAAUUAUGCAUAAUGUUACCAUACUUACUGCGGUCUGCAUCCUUUUAUGAGCAGCGGCCGGAUCUUGUAGACUCCGUUGAUGAGUUUACAUGUGAAUUGGCACAAAAUACCCCUCAGCAAAGUAACUGGUAAAACCCCUUAAUACGUACAUGUUUGUUGAAUAAAUAUUAACUAUUGAAUAUGGUUCUAAUAAUACUAAUAUAUGUUAUAAUAAUUGUGUUUUUGUAGUGGUGACUGUGGCAUGUUUACACUCAAGACUAUCGAGUUUUUACAUACUAGAUUACCAGUGACAUUCACACAAGAUGACAUGGAGUUCUUUAGGGAAAAAUAUGCAUAUGAGGUUUACAACAAAGAACUAAACAUAUAAGCUGAGUGGUGAUGCAUUUUUCUUUCUUUUUGUCAUCACCACUCAGCUUAUAUGCUUAGUUCUUUGUUGUAAGCCUCAUAUGCAUACUUCUUCCUAAAGAACUCCAUGUCAUCUUGUGUGAAUGUCACUGGUAAUUUAGCAUGUAAAAACUCGAUGUUCUUGAGUAUAAACAUGCCACAAUCACCACUAUAAAAAAACAAUUAUUAUAACAUAUAUUAGUAUUAUUAGAACCAUAUUCAAUAGUUAAUAUUUAUUCAACAAACAUGUAUGUAUUAAGGGGUUUUACCUGUUACUUUGUUGAGGGGUAUUUUGUGCCAAUUCACAUGUAAACUCAUCAACGGAGUUUACAAGAUCCUACCGCUGCUCAUAAAAGGAUGCAGACCGUAGUAAGUAUGGUAACAUUAUGCAUAAUUUCUAGAAAUAAAUUUCUCCCAUGUUUCGGUUACCAGCCUUAUCUGAACCAUAUACAGUCAUACGAUGCUCUUUCAAGUCCACGUGCCCUACCAGCCAAUGUAUGUUGCGCUUGUUUAGUGGAAUCAACAACUGUCAAUACAUUACAGGAUUUCAGUUAGCACAACAAAUAAAGGACGGCACAUGAUUAAAUGAAUAGUUAAUAUUACACAAUUUGGACAUGUAUAUUUUACAUGAUUUACGCAUUUCCAUGGCUUGGAUUCCUUCAUUCGAAUCCCCAGUACAUAUUCUUGCAUUGCGUAUGAGAAUUGGAACUUAGAUGGAUUGGCGAGGAACUUUCCAUAACACUGGUCAAUGUAUACCCCAUGGAUAGUUAUUGAAGUAUUCUAAAUCGUCCACCAUCUCCAAGUGAUUAUGAGGUGCAGUGGCCAUGCUUUCUUUGCCUAGAAGAACCGUCUCUAGGAAAUAUAAUAAAGCCAACUUCAAUCUAUCAUCGUCGGCUUCAUCAUCUUCUUGACACUAUGCGGUCAUGAAAGCUUCGAUUAUCUCCGCGUUAGUGACCUUUUGCUUUCCACCAAAAUACGUGUCACUAAUACGAGUAGAGAUGUUAACUCGUCUAUUGGGUUCGUAACCAAACCCUAGACCUGUAAUUAUGGUGAAGUCUCUCGUGUAAAUCUAGCACCACGCCUUCCAAAAUUGAAUACCAUAGAAUCUUUGUCUUCGCAAACACACUACCUAUACAGCAUGCUGCUGACAAUGUGGCCACUAAAUUGUAUCUCAUUGGCCUUCAAAAAGUGGCCAAAAUAGCUAUCCUCAACCUUCUUUAUUUGGGCUGGAGUCAGCUUGAACUUAAUAUCCGACACAGCUUUCCAGAAGUUCGAUCUACAAUUAACCUUUAUCCUCGAUAUCUCCGAGUCCCAAAACCUUCGUUGGUAAUCUGAAUCCAUUUAUCUGCAAAUCAAAUACGACAAAGCAUAAUAGAUGGAGGAAACGUUUUUUCCUACAUGAGCAAAGCCUGGAGGAAAAUUUUUCCUCGAGGCGAAAAAAGUUUUUCGCCUGGAGGAAAAAUUUUGCUCCUGGAGGAAAAAGUUUCCUCCAGGAGGAAAACAUUUUCUGCCUCGAGGAAAAAUUUUCCUCCAGCAGGAAAAAAAGAGGAAAUAUUUUCCUCCGGGUGGAAAAUUUUUCAGAACCUAAAUGACAUACACCUAAUGGGAUUUGUGCAACAAUAUAAUGAAAAUGGCUAAAGAAUCUUUUUGAACCAGCGCAUAUGUGGAUUUAAAAGCUACAAUAUCUUCUAUAUAGUAUUGUACAUUAUACGUUAGUAGUGUACAUUAUACAUUGCUUCCUAAGGAUAACCUAUAGAUAUAUUAUGGUUUCACAUUCAAACCUCCCAUUAUAUUCAAACAAAAACACAACUUUACAAUAGUUUUAAUUUCACAUUUCACAUUCUAACCAUGCAAUACAAACAUUUCCGUCACACCAAAUAACACAAUUUAUAAGCAUAGCGCAUAAUGACAAAGGUUCAAAAUUGAGCAAUUUAUAAAGAGAUGACUUAUCAUCUCUAAAAUAAUCCAUCAUGGAAAUUAUGAACAAUUCUAAAACUCAUUCAAAGCAAUUUAUAAAGAGAUGACUUAUCAUCUCUAAAAUAAUCCAUCAUGGAAAUUAUGAACAAUUCUAAAACUCAUUCAAUACAGCACAACUAAAGGUUUUCAGAUAAGUUCGUUACAUUAAAGCAAAAUUAGUUUGCAAAAUAUUUUCUAUGUUGUUCAGAGAAGCAACUUAUAUUAAUGGGGGACAAACCACCACCAAUGCUUCUCUAUCUAUUUAUAUAUAUAUCUCUCUCUCUUUCUCUAUCUCUAUGAGUGUAUGUGUAAUUUUAUUAGCUUGCAUUUGUAACUCUACGAUCGUAAAUUUUGUGCUUCAAUUUUCUGCUCGGUCCAUCACUUGCUCCUCCAAUACUGAAAGAAAUAGAAAAUCAAUAUUAGUAACCAUGCAGCAAUCAAACUUAGCAUAUUAUGUGUAAGAUGUGCAUAUGAAAGGGCACAGAAUACUGCUUACCUAGCUAAUGAUAAGAUGGAGCCUGGAGGUUCAAAUAGAUAAAUGUCUCCUUGUAUAUUCUUUCUUUGAUUUCUAUUCAAAUGAACAAGAGCAUAUGAGAAAUUUGGAAAUUUUCCACCAAUAGAAAAAAACCACAAAAACUACUAACAACUAAAUAACUACAAAAAUGUACAAAAUAAUAAAAAAAUAAAUUAAGGACAUAAUCAUUACAUAAAAUUUCCAGAUUUCCUCACUUUUUAUAUAUUUCAAAGGGCAAUAUAAAAGGUUUUAUUUUGUUUCUUGGAUCAAAAAGUAGGAAUAUUAAACCAUAACACCAAUCCCCAUUGCCAUUUCUCUCUAUUUCUUUUUUAUGCAGCCAUAAUAACACUCACUCAUUAGCAUAGCAUAAAAAAAAUUAUUUGCAAUAUUUUAAUUUUGUUGUUUUGGACCUGACAAUCUGUCCCCUUAUUAUAUUUA